GCAAGUCGAGGGGUAACAGGAAAAAGCUUGCUUUUUCGCUGACGACCGGCGCACGGGUGCGUAACGCGUAUAGAACCUACCUUUUACUGAGGAAUAGCCUUUAGAAAUGAAGAUUAAUGCCUCAUAGUAUCUAAGUAUUGCAUAAUACUAAGAUUAAAGAUUGAUUGGUAAAAGAUGGCUAUGCGUCCGAUUAGUGAGUUGGUGAGGUAACGGAGGACCAAGACAGCGAUAGGGAGGGGUCCUGAGAGGGAGAUC
rnacentral:rRNA from 1 species